rnacentral:rRNA from 1 species
GACGAACGCUGGCGGCGUGCUUAACACAUGCAAGUCGAACGGAAAGGCCCUGCUUUUGUGGGGUGCUCGAGUGGCGAACGGGUGAGUAACACGUGAGUAACCUGCCCUUGACUUUGGGAUAACUUCAGGAAACUGGGGCUAAUACCGGAUAGGAGCUCCUGCUGCAUGGUGGGGGUUGGAAAGUUUCGGCGGUUGGGGAUGGACUCGCGGCUUAUCAGCUUGUUGGUGGGGUAGUGGCUUACCAAGGCUUUGACGGGUAGCCGGCCUGGGAGGGUGACCGGCCACCUUGGGACUGAGAUACGGCCCAGACUCCUACGGGAGGCAGCAGUGGGGAAUAUUGCACAAUGGGCGGAAGCCUGAUGCAGCAACGCCGCGUGCGGGAUGACGGCCUUCGGGUUGUAAACCGCUUUCGCCUGUGACGAAGCGUGCGUGACGGUAAUGGGUAAAGAAGCACCGGCUAACUACGUG